rnacentral:rRNA from 1 species
AUGCAGAUCAUGGAGGGCCAGCCCAUGGUGAGCUAUUCGGCAGGAUCAGUGAACUCUGUUGUCUACAUGCUCACCAAGCUAAAGGAUUGCUCCCUUGUAAUUGAAGGGUUACAAAAGGAUCUUAUGAUUCUUUUGGAGAGUUUCAGCCAAGUGGUUGUGUUGAAUUGGCAAGUCCAAGUGUGGAUGAAAAUUGUGAGGGAGUUGGUCUUCGACAUCGAGGACUGGAUCGAUCAGAUGCUGGCGAUGCCAAACACAGGGGGCCAACUACUGGAUUUAGAAGAUGAAGUGAAAAGAUUGAAGAUCGAGCACGCGUGUGAGCUCUGUGAAAGAUACGGUCUUGUUAUUGAAGUGCCGUCUGAACUUCGUGAUCCUGCUUCUUUACCCGGCCACGCCCAAGUUACAGUUGCUUCACAUAUACUUUUCGAGGAGAGAACUGCCCUUGUCAGGAUGGAAGUUCCUAUGGAUGAGCUUGUCAAGCAUCUCACUGGUGAGCAUGAGAAGAGGCGGAAGGUGGUUUCCAUCCUCGGGGUGGAAGGCCUUGGUAAGACUACUCUUGCCAAGGAGGUUUAUUCAAAGAUUCAAGGGAACUUUGAGUGCCGAGCUUUUGUUACUCUUGGCCGGAGACCAUCCAUUAGGGAGACUGUGCAGGAAAUACUUUGUCAAGUAAACCCCUCUGCAGAAAAGAAAAUGAACCUGAAGAUUGAUCCUAGGCGUGGAAGGGGCGCAGCCCCGGAUCUGAAAAAACUCCUCACUGAGCUUUGGAAGUACCUCGCCACAAAGAGGUAUUUCAUCUUAGUUGAUAGCUUAUGGAGCACACAGGCUUGGAAAAUUAUCAAUUCUUUGCCCAACGAGAAUAAUGGAAGCAGGGUAUUGACAACAACAUGCAUCAGUGCUGUUGCUCAACGUUGUUCUGUACAUCCCAUGGAUAUCUAUCGGAUUGAGCCACUUAACGAGGAGAUGUCUGCAAGAUUAUACCUAAAAUUAAUUCGGCAAAAAGAAUGGCCGGCUGAUCAUGCUGAAGUAACCAAAAACAUGUUUAAAAUGUGUGGUGGCAUGCCAUUAGCCCUAGUUCUUGCAGCUGGCUUAUUAGCAGCAAAAUGCAAAGAACUACCAGAGCCCGAGAUAUCUGUUGUCUCAUCAGUGGAGCAAUAUUCCAAAUCAGAUGGGAUUAUGAAGACACUGCAGAUGAGUUAUGAUGCUUUGUCUUUGCCUUUGAGGUCUUGCUUGCUGUACCUGAGUGUCUUUCGAGGAGGUUGCACCAUCAAGAAGGGUCGUCUGAUACGAUUAUGGAUUGCUGAAAGACUUAUCCCUUGA